rnacentral:pre_miRNA from 1 species
AGUUGGAAAACAUAUUUCUUUACAUGUUAUGUAAAGAAAUAUGUUUUUGUGGU